UACGUAGGGCGCAAGCGUUGUCCGGAAUUACUGGGCGUAAAGAGCUCGUAGGUGGUUUGUCGCGUUGUUCGUGAAAACUCACAGCUCGACUGUGGGCGUGCGGGCGAUACGGGCAGACUGGAGUACUGCAGGGGAGACUGGAAUUCCUGGUGUAGCGGUGGAAUGCGCAGAUAUCAGGAGGAACACCGGUGGCGAAGGCGGGUCUCUGGGCAGUAACUGACGCUGAGGAGCGAAAGCGUGGGGAGCGAACAGG
rnacentral:rRNA from 1 species